rnacentral:misc_RNA from 1 species
GAUGAAGAACGCAGUGAAAUGCGAUAAGUAAUGUGAAUUGCAGAAUUCCGUGAAUCAUCGAAUCUUUGAACGCACAUUGCGCCCUCUGGUAUUCCGGAGGGCAUGCCUGUCCGAGCGUCAUUGCAACCUUCAAGCGCGGCUUGUGUGUUGGGCCUCGUCCCCCGUGGACGGGCCUCAAAGGCAGUGGCGGCGUCCGUUUUGGUGCCCGAGCGUAUGGGAAUUCUAUACCGCUUCAAGGCCCGGCGGCGCUGGUCAAGACCAAUUUUUACCGGUUGACCUCGGAUCAGGUAGGGAUACCCGCUGAACUUAAGCAUAUCAAUAAGCGGAGGA